rnacentral:rRNA from 1 species
GUGGGAAUGUACCCUUCACUACGGAAUAGUCCCGGGAAACUGGGUUUAAUACCGUAUACGCCCUUCGGGGGAAAGAAUUUCGGUGAAGGAUCAGCCCGCGUUAGAUUAGGUAGUUGGUGGGGUAAUGGCCUACCAAGCCUACGAUCUAUAGCUGGUUUGAGAGGAUGAUCAGCAACACUGGGACUGGGACACGGCCCAGACUCCUACGGGAGGCAGCAGUGGGGAAUCUUAGACAAUGGGGGAAACCCUGAUCUAGCCAUGCCGCGUGAGUGACGAAGGUCUUAGGAUCGUAAAGCUCUUUCAACUGUGAAGAUAAUGACGGUAGCAGUAGAAGAAACCCCGGCUAACUCCGUGCCAGCAGCCGCGGUAAUACGGAGGGGGUUAGCGUUGUUCGGAAUUACUGGGCGUAAAGCGCACGUAGGCGGAUUGGAAAGUUGGGGGUGAAAUCCCGGGGCUCAACCUCGGAACUGCCUCCAAAACUAUCAGUCUAGAGUUCGAGAGAGGUGAGUGGAAUUCCGAGUGUAGAGGUGAAAUUCGUAGAUAUUCGGAAGAACACCAGUGGCGAAGGCGGCUCACUGGCUCGAUACUGACGCUGAGGUGCGAAAGUGUGGGUAGCAAACAGGAUUAGAUACCCUGGUAGUCCACACCGUAAACGAUGAAUGCCAGUCGUCAGGGGGCUUGCCCCUUGGUGACACACCUAACGGAGUAAGCAUUCCGCCUGGGGA